rnacentral:lncRNA from 1 species
AUCAAACCCAAGGCCUUGCACACACUAGGUGAGUGUGCUACCCCUGAGCCACAACCCCAGCCCCAAGUGAUCUCUUUUCAGGCCUUUUCUAACUUGAUCUCAUUGGAAACUACCUCUUUCUCCUUGAAAUUCUCUUAAUUCAGCUCUCAUGACACUCAUUUUUGUUCUGCAUUUUUGUUGUCCAUCUGUCUCCUUUGAUUACUUCUGUAUGCCUGUCCCAUUUAUUGACAUCUCUCUCUCUCCUUUAUUGUGGCGAUCUAUUUCCAGAUCUCAGGCUUUUGCUAAGCUUCACUCACGCUAGUAUUUCCUACCUGGUCAUUUCACAAACUCUAAAUGUCUAAAAGUUACAAAUGGAACCUCUUGUCCACUCUUUAAAGCCCUAAAUCUGCUCUUCUUCCCAUUUUUAAUUGACAUUAUCAUCUACUCAAAUUUUGUUCAUUUUUUUGUGAAAGAAACUAUCCUUGAUAUUACUGAUUUUUCCCUUUAUCCCUCACAUUUAGUCUGUCCCCUUGUCCUAUUGAUUCUUAUUUCAAAAUGUCUCUAGUUAAUCCCCUCCUUACCAUUUCCACAACAGAGGUCUUUAUUGUUGUCUCUUGCUUGGGUUUUUGCAAGACUGUCUCUCCCAGUUGCUCUGCUUCCCAUCUGUUCCCCUUUCACAGUGCUUCCACUUAUCAAAAGAAAGAAAGUCAAAACGUGUAAUUGAAUUCUUUACUAGAAGAACAAUAAUGCUGUAUCAGAGCACACUCUAAGGAGAAGACAUGCAUCAACUAGCUAGCUAGCAUUUUCGAUACUGGCCGGCAUGGUGGCACAGGCCUGUAAUCCCAGUGACAUGGAGGCUGAGGCACAAGUUCAAGGCUAGUCUGGACAAUUUAGC